rnacentral:rRNA from 1 species
GGUUAAGCGACUAAGCGUACACGGUGGAUGCCCUGGCAGUCAGAGGCGAUGAAGGACGUGCUAAUCUGCGAUAAGCGUCGGUAAGGUGAUAUGAACCGUUAUAACCGGCGAUUUCCGAAUGGGGAAACCCAGUGUGAUUCGUCACACUAUCAUUAACUGAAUCCAUAGGUUAAUGAGGCGAACCGGGGGAACUGAAACAUCUAAGUACCCCGAGGAAAAGAAAUCAACCGAGAUUCCCCCAGUAGCGGCGAGCGAACGGGGAGCAGCCCAGAGCCUGAAUCAGUGUGUGUGUUAGUGGAAGCGUCUGGAAAGGCGUGCGAUACAGGGUGACAGCCCCGUACACAAAAAUGCACAUGCUGUGAGCUCGAUGAGUAGGGCGGGACACGUGGUAUCCUGUCUGAAUAUGGGGGGACCAUCCUCCAAGGCUAAAUACUCCUGACUGACCGAUAGUGAACCAGUACCGUGAGGGAAAGGCGAAAAGAACCCCGGCGAGGGGAGUGAAAAAGAACCUGAAACCGUGUACGUACAAGCAGUGGGAGCACAGAGCAAUCUGUGUGACUGCGUACCUUUUGUAUAAUGGGUCAGCGACUUAUAUUCUGUAGCAAGGUUAACCGAAUAGGGGAGCCGAAGGGAAACCGAGUCUUAACUGGGCGUUAAGUUGCAGGGUAUAGACCCGAAACCCGGUGAUCUAGCCAUGGGCAGGUUGAAGGUUGGGUAACACUAACUGGAGGACCGAACCGACUAAUGUUGAAAAAUUAGCGGAUGACUUGUGGCUGGGGGUGAAAGGCCAAUCAAACCGGGAGAUAGCUGGUUCUCCCCGAAAGCUAUUUAGGUAGCGCCUCGUGAAUUCAUCUCCGGGGGUAGAGCACUGUUUCGGCAAGGGGGUCAUCCCGACUUACCAACCCGAUGCAAACUGCGAAUACCGGAGAAUGUUAUCACGGGAGACACACGGCGGGUGCUAACGUCC